rnacentral:rRNA from 1 species
GGCCACUGCUAUCGGGCUCCGACUAAGCCAUGCGAGUCUAGGGGCUCCUUCGGGAGCACCGGCGGACGGCUCAGUAACACGUGGACAACCUACCCUCGGGUGGGGGAUAACCUCGGGAAACUGAGGCUAAUACCCCAUAGGCCUCGGAUACUGGAAGGUUCCGAGGCUGAAAGCCCCGGCGCCCGAGGAUGGGUCUGCGGCCUAUCAGGUAGUUGGUGGUGUAAAGGACCACCAAGCCUGCGACGGGUACGGGCCCUGAGAGGGGGAGCCCGGAGAUGGACUCUGAGACACGAGUCCAGGCCCUACGGGGCGCAGCAGGCGCGAAACCUUCGCAAUGCGCGGAAGCGCGACGAGGGGAGCCCGAGUGCCCUUCCUUUUGGGAGGGCUUUUCCGGAGUCUAAAAAGCUCCGGGAAUAAGGGCUGGGCAAGACGGGUGCCAGCCGCCGCGGUAAUACCCGCAGCUCGAGUGGUGGCCACUAUUAUUGAGCCUAAAGCGUCCGUAGCCGGACCUGCAAAUCUCUGGGUAAAUCCUGGCGCUCAACGUCAGGAAUUCCGGAGAGACUGCGGGUCUUGGGACCGGGAGAGGCCGGAGGUACUCCAGGGGUAGGGGUAAAAUCCUGUAAUCCCUGGGGGACCACCUGUGGCGAAAGCGUCCGGCUUGAACGGCUCCGACGGUGAGGGACGAAGGCCAGGGGAGCAAACCGGAUUAGAUACCCGGGUAGUCCUGGCUGUAAACGCUGCCCGCUUGGUGUUGUCGGUCUUUCGGGGGCCGGCAGUGCCGGAGCGAAGGUGUUAAGCGGGCCGCUUGGGGAGUACGGCCGCAAGGCUGAAACUUAAAGGAAUUGGCGGGAGAGCACUGCAACGGGAGGAGCGUGCGGUUU